rnacentral:rRNA from 1 species
GACGAACGCUGGCGGCGUGCCUAAUACAUGCAAGUCGAACGCACAGUUUAUACCGUAGCUUGCUCCACCAUAGACUGUGAGUUGCGAACGGGUGAGUAACGCGUAGGUAACCUGCCUGGUAGCGGGGGAUAACUAUUGGAAACGAUAGCUAAUACCGCAUAAUAUUGAUUAUUGCAUGAUAAUUGAUUGAAAGAUGCUAUUGCAUCACUACCAGAUGGACCUGCGUUGUAUUAGCUAGUAGGUGAGGUAACGGCUCACCUAGGCGACGAUACAUAGCCGACCUGAGAGGGUGAUCGGCCACACUGGGACUGAGACACGGCCCAGACUCCUACGGGAGGCAGCAGUAGGGAAUCUUCGGCAAUGGACGAAAGUCUGACCGAGCAACGCCGCGUGAGUGAAGAAGGUUGUCGGAUCGUAAAGCUCUGUUGUAAGAGAAGAACGGGUGUGAGAGUGGAAAGUUCACACUGUGACGGUAGCUGACCAGAAAGGGACGGCUAACUACGUG